CUAGAAAUGAAUAAAUAAAAUCUUUAAAAAUAUUCAACUCCUAGGGGGCAGGUACAGGUAAUGGAAAAAUACAAUAAAAUUUUUUUUUUAAAUAAAAUAAAAUUCAACUCCUAGGAGAGGUGAAAACUGUAGUUAGGUCAGGUAUUAAGCCUUGGUAGGGCUUAGCCCAAAUGACUCCAUUUUGGGUCUAUUGUUUCUUUUUAACAAGAACAUCCUAGAUUUUUUUCCUUUUCUCCCAUCACCUGAAGUCAGUCCCCUCCUAAAUCUCUCCAUCCUAUUCCGCUCUCUUAGCCCAAGCCUUCAUCCUGUGUGCUCUGUUGAGAAGGAGAGUCAUUUCAAAUGGUAUAGAAAUGCCUGAAAGAAUUGGGGCAAGAAUAAAGGCCCUUAAGCCAUCUUGGGUGACCUUCGAUAAGAGAAUGGUUUGUAUCAAGCAGUAAAGAUGGAGGCUUGAUUGCAGGGAAUGAAGAGGGAGUUGAGAGGAAGUAGACACAGCUAGGGGAGAAUGGAAGGAAAGCAAAAGGGACAGAUGAAUUCAGUACUUGAAUAUGAUGAAAUCAAAAGUAGUCUGAGCCCAUUUUGUGUAUUUGUCCUCUUGGGGCAACUGGGCACAAAAAUGCCAAGGUAUCUCAUCCAAAUGAGCUCAGGAGUGGAACCUGCCCAUUGCAGUUUCAUUUAUUACCCUCUGACUGAGGAGACAAUGGCCAUAGGGAAGAGUGUGAAGCAGAUUGCUUUUUGAGAUCUAAAGGACCCUAGAUAAAGAAACAGUGAAGGACCAGGGUUGUUUCCUGCUCCUUAUGACCCCCUACCCCUUCGCUGCUCAAAUGUGAGCAAUGAACAGAAGAGACUGAGAACAGGAGAAUUUUGAGUGAUAAGAACACAUAGGGUAUAUAUGUGUAUAUAUGUAUAUAUAUAUAUGUAUAUAUAGUGUUAAUUCUACAGAUGGGCAAUUACAAAUAGAAGCAGAGCUUCUUGUGGGACCAGACCUUUGUAUUCCUGUAACAUUUCCCUAUAGAGAAACCAGGAAGAACAAGAAA